CCCCUAGAUGUUCUGGGCCGCACGCGCGCUACACUGACGAAUGCAACGAGCUUAUAACCUUGGCCGAAAGGUCUGGGUAAUCUCCAAAUUUCGUCGUGAUGGGGAUAGAUUAUUGCAAUUAUUAAUCUUCAACGAGGAAUGCCUAGUAAGCGCAAGUCAUCAGCUUGCGUUGAUUACGUCCCUGCCCUUUGUACACACCGCCCGUCGCACCUACCGAUUGAAUGGUCCGGUGAAGCCUCCGGAUUGGCGCGCACCUCGGUGCCGCCGAGAAGUUGGCUAAACCUUACCAUUUAGAGGAAGGUGAAGUCGUAACA
rnacentral:rRNA from 1 species